rnacentral:rRNA from 1 species
GAUGAACGCUGGCGGCGUGCUUAACACAUGCAAGUCGAACGAUGAUCCCAGCUUGCUGGGGGAUUAGUGGCGAACGGGUGAGUAACACGUGAGUAACCUGCCCUUAACUCUGGGAUAAGCCUGGGAAACUGGGUCUAAUACCGGAUAUGACUCCUCAUCGCAUGGUGGGGGGUGGAAAGCUUUAUUGUGGUUUUGGAUGG